UAAGCCCCUAACAUAAACCAGACAUGACAGGAGUGAGGCGGAUCAAGCUUGGGUCACAAGGCCUUGAGGUCUCAGCUCAAUAACUAGGUUGGAUAGGCAUGUCAACCUUCUAUGGCCACCCAAAGCCUGAACUAAACAUGAUCAAUCUCAUCCACCACGCCAUUGAUGCUGGUGUCACCUUGCUCUGACACCCUACACCGACAAAACUCUUCUUGGCAAGGCUUUGAGUUGAGGGUUAGAGAGAAGGUUCAAUUGGCGACCAAAUGUGGUUAGAGUGUUAAGCACCACAUGAAGAUUUUAGGCAAGCCAGCAUAUAUGUGAGGGCUGCUUGUUAGGGAAGCUUAAAGCACCUUGGUGUUAAUUCUAUUGAUCUCUAUUAUCAGCAUUGGAUUGACACCUAUGUCCUCAUUGAAGUCACGAUGGGGGAGCUCAAGAAACUAGUUGAAGAGGGUAAUGUAAAAGUACAUUGGUCUGUCUAAGGCAUCAGCUUCCACAAUAAGAAGAGCCCAUGCUGGUCAUCCAAUAUCAGCUGUGCAGGUUGAGUGGUCCCUAUGGUAAAGAGAUGUCUAAGAAGAUAUAAUUCCUAAAGAUAGAGAUGUCGAAGAAGAUAUAAUUCCUAAAGAUAGAGAUGUCGAAAAAGAUAUAAUUCCUACCUGUUGGUAAGGCUCAAUGGAACUGAACUAAUUUGUUUUUCAGUAGCAAUUCAUUCUAUUAAUUAUUGUCACUGUCCUAAUUUCCCAGCGACAUUAAUUGUUGAUACGUCCUCUAGGAAAAGGAUUCUUUUCAUCCUGAGCUAUAUUAAUUUCAAAUCUUCCCAAUUAUGAUUUUCGAAAGGUUUAUUCAUACUUACUUGAUAUGUCAUAAAACAUAUUGGUUCAUAAAUGCAUGUGCAAGAUCAAAAGACA